GGUCCUUGGAGGGAGGUUGUCCUUGGUGAGUUCACGUUACUUAGCGAUGCCCGAUACAUGGUCCAGCUCUUUUCAGUCUC
rnacentral:pre_miRNA from 13 species